rnacentral:misc_RNA from 1 species
GAAAAUAAAAAUCAUUAACUUAUGAGCCACUUACUAUUAUUGCUCAACAGAGACCAAAACUGAACCUUAAAUUCAAAAGCCAAACUGAAGCAUUUGAGAAACAAGAAGCCAAACGAGGCUAUUGCUAAACCAUUAUCAGCAUUAACUAGAGUUCCAUAAACUGGAAUUGACAAAUUUCAAAGCAAUCCACUGGUCUGCAGAACAGAGACAGUAAAAAAAGGAGAGAAUAUCAAGGAAAGGCAUGAUAUGGACGAUUUAAUAGAAGAAAAAGGCCUAAACAAGAAAAGAUAGAGAUCUUGGAUUUGAUGAGAGCAAUCUGCCUCUUGGAUAAAUUUGUUUCAGUCAAAAUUGCACUAACACUGAUUUGAGCAGUAUUGACUUGUUUUUAAGUUUUAACCAUAGAUACUGAAAAGAACCUCUAUUUAUUGCCAUCCAAAACUAUACUUGAUGUGGGCUCCAUUACAUUGACACAUAAGCCAAGGAAUAGUAAAAUCCAAAAAUUUUUCCUCACUUUCCAGGUAACAAUAAAAAUUACUAAAUUAUCCACCCUCAUAUUUUGUGAUUGAACUAUGUAAAUGCACCAACAAAGAAUAUUAACUUCAAAUAAAAGCAUGCUGAUGCGUCCCACAUCGGUUCUG